GUAGNCGCACGAGCGCACCCCCAUCCUUAGUUGCUAGCAGGUAAUGCUGAGAACUCUANCGAUACUGCCGGUGAUAAACCGGAGGAAGGUGGGGACGACGCUCUNGUCAUCAUGGCCCUUACGUGUAGGGCUACACACGUGCUACAAUGGCGCAUACAGAGUGCUGCGAACCUGCGAAGGUGAGCGAAUCACUUAAAGUGCGUCNUANUCCGGAUUGGAGUCUGCAACUCGACUCCAUGAAGUCGGAAUCGCUAGUAAUCGCGUAUCANAAUGACGCGGUGAAUACGUUCCCGGGCCUUGUACACACCGCCCGUCACACCAUGGGAGUGGGUUGCUCCAGAAGUAGAUAGUCUAACCCUCGGGAGGACGUUUACCACGGAGUGAUUCAUGACUGGGGUGAAGUCGUAACAAGGUAGCCCUAGGGGAACCUGGGGCUGGAUCACCUCCUU
rnacentral:rRNA from 1 species